rnacentral:misc_RNA from 1 species
ACACACACACACACACACAAAAACCACCCUGCUGUUUCAUAUGCAUCUGUGCAUCUUAUGAGCCCCGCCCCGUAUGCAUCUAUGCAUCUUUUAAGAAGGUUGAAUGUUGAACAGAUCAAACACAGAGCUUGUUUCUAGAUUGGCCUAAGCGUUACAACAUUAUCAAGGGGAUUGCACGUGGAAUCCUUUAUCUCCAUCAAGAUUCACGGCUAAGAAUAAUUCAUAGAGAUC